rnacentral:rRNA from 1 species
GACGAACCGUGCGAACGUUAUUCGGAAUCACUGGGCUUAAAGCGCGUGUAGGCGGGACGGCACGUCGGUCGCUGAAAGCCCCCCGGCUCAACCGGGGAACGGGCGCCGAUACGACCGCCCUGGAGGAACGUAGGGGGACCUGGAACUUCCGGUGGAGCGGUGAAAUGCGUUGAGAUCGGAAGGAACGCCCGUGGCGAAAGCGAGGUCCUGGACGUUUACUGACGCUGAGACGCGAAAGCCAGGGGAGCGAACGGG